CAGCAGCCGCGGUAAUACGUAGGGUGCAAGCGUUAAUCGGAAUUACUGGGCGUAAAGCGUGCGCAGGCGGUUAUAUAAGUCAGAUGUGAAAUCCCCGGGCUCAACCUGGGAACUGCAUUUGAGACUGUAUGGCUAGAGUGUGUCAGAGGGGGGUAGAAUUCCACGUGUAGCAGUGAAAUGCGUAGAUAUGUGGAGGAAUACCGAUGGCGAAGGCAGCCCCCUGGGACAACACUGACGCUGAAGCACGAAAGCGUAGGGAGCGAACAGGAUUAGAUACCCCGGUAGUCCCUGUCUCUUAUAC
rnacentral:rRNA from 1 species